rnacentral:rRNA from 1 species
CUCACCUUCAAAAAUCAUUUCGAGCAAGGGCCGGGCAAGACCGGUGCCAGCCGCCGCGGUAAUACCGGCGGCUCGAGUGGUGGCCGAUAUUAUUGAGUCUAAAGGGUCCGUAGCCGGCUUAGGAAGUCUCUGGGGAAAUCUCAACGGGAUAAUCNUACUGGUCGUUCGGGGGAUACUGUCAUUCUCGGGACCUGGAGAGGUGAGAUUAGCCUG